rnacentral:rRNA from 1 species
GAUGAACGCUGGCGGCGUGCCUAAUACAUGCAAGUCGAGCGAACGGACGAGAAGCUUGCUUCUCUGAUGUUAGCGGCGGACGGGUGAGUAACACGUGGAUAACCUACCUAUAAGACUGGGAUAACUUCGGGAAACCGGAGCUAAUACCGGAUAAUAUUUUGAACCGCAUGGUUCAAAAGUGAAAGACGGUCUUUCUGUCACUUAUAGAUGGAUCCGCGCUGCAUUAGCUAGUUGGUAAGGUAACGGCUUACCAAGGCAACGAUGCAUAGCCGACCUGAGAGGGUGAUCGGCAACACUGGAACUGAGACACGGUCCAGACUCCUACGGGAGGCAGCAGUAGGGAAUAUUCCGCAAUGGGCGAAAGCCUGACGGAGCAAAGCCGCGUGAGUGAUGAAGGUCUUCGGAUCGUAAAACUCUGUUAUUAGGGAAGAACAUAUGUGUAAGUAACUGUGCACAUCUUGACGGUAACUAAUCAGAAAGCCACGGCUAACUACGUG